CUCAAAUUUGCAAAAAUACCUCGGAUGACACCCCUGAAGCAACCUUACAGCAGUCCAGGAACCUCCAAACAAGGACAGAGAAUUAUGCUGAACAGUGCCAUUCAGAGACAGAGAAUUCCGCUGAACAGUGCCAUUCAGAGACUUUGUCACAGACAGAUGAAUCGACAACAUAUACUUUGUCACAAGAAU